rnacentral:tRNA from 1 species
GUGGGUAUAGCUCAGUGGUAGAGCACUGGACUGUGGCUCCGGUUGUCGCGGGUUCGAUCCCCGUUACUCACC